CUACGGAGGGUGCAAGCGUUAAUCGGAAUUACUGGGCGUAAAGGGCGCGUAGGCGGUCUAUCAAGUCAGUUGUGAAAUCCCACGGCUCAACCGUGGAGGUGCAUCUGAAACUGAUAGACUUGAGUAUGGGAGAGGAAAGUGGAAUUCCCGGUGUAGAGGUGAAAUUCGUAGAUAUCGGGAGGAACACCAGUGGCGAAGGCGACUUUCUGGACCAAUACUGACGCUGAGGCGCGAAAGCGUGGGGAGCAAAUAGGAUUAGAUACCCUAGUAGUCC
rnacentral:rRNA from 1 species